CGGGUGAGUAACGCGUGAGGAACCUGCCUCAAAGAGGGGACAACAGUUGGAAACGACUGCUAAUACCGCAUAAGCCCACGGUGCCGCAUGGCACAGAGGGAAAAGGAGCAAUCCGCUUUGAGAUGGCCUCGCGUCCGAUUAGCUAGUUGGUGAGGUAAUGGCCCACCAAGGCGACGAUCGGUAGCCGGACUGAGAGGUUGAACGGCCACAUUGGGACUGAGACACGGCCCAG
rnacentral:rRNA from 1 species